AUUCGACAAGCCAACAAACUAAACUGAUCUUGUCUGAGAAAUUCAGAUCCAACUGAAACACCCCUACGAUUGUCCUAAUCCUUUAUAAUCUGAUCAAAUCCUACAAUCAAAAACCCUGAAUUCACGAUAGAUCAGAGAUUGAGAACGAACCGGGCGGAAACUAGAGGCGUUCGAGGAGAGACCUAGCUAAGCAACUGGGAUAAUGAUGCUCUGACUCGUUGCUACCAAUCUCUGUAAAGGAAAUGGGGCUUUUACCAAUCUCUGUAACAUCCUUACAGCUUAUUCCACCUUCCAAGAUCUUAUCAAGAUGUAGUAAUCCGCGGCAAAGCUUCCUCCUCGAUUCAGGAUCUCUCUCUAGUCCUGUUCGUUUAAUUGUCGCAAGUUUCGGUGACAGCGUCAGUGUCAGUAGUGGCGGCAGUGUUAAUGAAGAUAAUUGUUAUUUGUUUCGCAGACGCUGACGCUGCCGUAUAUUAUGUCGCGACCGCAGAUUUUAUCGGCACCAGCUGUAGGACGCGGCGUUCGGACGCGGCGUCAGACGCAGCUUUCUACAUCAACAAAACAAACAAAAAUUGACGUAGACGCUGCCGCUACCGCCGGUUCCUGCAGCGACCAAACGAACAGACCUAAACCUAAGGUACUAUCAGUAGCUAAAGAAUCACCUCGAGCGAGAUCGGUGGACGAGAGCGGUAGCCUCGACGUCUCCAUGAAGAUUCGUCGCGAGUGAAAGCUUUUCUUCGAUCGCCGGCGAUUUUCGCAGAGUGUAGGCGCCAUUAAUAUCUGGUUUGGAGUAACCGGAUAUAAGAUAAAACCAUUGGUUUAGUGAAAUUGUUUGAUUAACCAGAAAAUCUUCUCCG